CAAUUCUUCAGGUGCUUAGUACGUAUGGAAGGAUCUCCGAAAUUGUGUCCAUCGGGCAACAAAAGGAAGUCCCCUAUCUCAGCACAUACCUGAAGAUGAAGGUGGCAACUUCAAGAAGGUAGGGAAGAUUCAGAAUGGCUGAAAUCUGGAAGCAGAGAUCUCCACAUGUAGACAAGAGUUGCCAAAAGGAAGGAAAGGAAAGUAAGAGAGGCAUUCAUGUAAUUCUUUAAGAACCAAGAUAUUUGAAGCUUUCCCCAUAUUUGAUGGAUGUGACAAUCAAAAAAGAAAAAAUCACUCUGAGGAGAAUGUGACAGCUUCAUUUAUUCAAGAUAAACUGGAAAGUCUAUCAGAGUACAAGUGUGAGGGACGCAACACUGAGGAGAACAAGGACACUUUCUAAUCAGUGAAGGUUUUUUCUUGCCUGCGUCUUGGUGAGGUAGCUUUGCAUCCCUCUAAUUAUUAGAUGGAAAGUUUGUCUUUACUCCAAGGCCAUUUAAAGAAAUACAGCAUUCCAAAUACCAGGAAAUCAACCACUGGCCUAUUAAUCUGACCAAUGACAAUCAACUGAAUUUCCUGACACUACCAGCCAGUCAUCACAGCAUUGCAGACACGCUGCAGGCCUUGAGUCCACUCUGGGGCCUUUUACGAACAGGAUUGCCAUGCAGUUGGUACAAGUAAACAUCUACUCCCAUUCUCAAUAUUAGGAAAAUCUGGGAGAAAUAGGGUCGAGACAAAGACAUCAAUUUAAAAUUUUUUCAAAGACCUUGAAGGGAGAUUUUUUCCCAAGAAGUAGAAGGGUUGAAAAUUCUGGAAUAAGCUUGUCUCUUUCUCUUAGUAAAAGAAUGAAAAUGAUUUCAAAAGCCUCACGAGAGAGUGCUGUGAAUGCGUUAACCUGCAGUAACUAUCUAGGCCUUGCCUCCUGAGUGCACGAGCGAUAGGACACCAGGAAGAUGUGCACCUGCUUCUUGCCUUUCGGAUUCCUGAUGAGUACAAGUAUCAUUUACUACUCUAGAAAAAACCUUUGUUUUUUCUUUUCAUGGCUUCUGUGCACUGAGCAACAGCCAGCCUGCUCUGAUUUCCCUGUAGGUUCCCAGAGGCUUUGCAUCAGUGCUGAACUGGGUGGAGUCACUGGGACUGUGCCCAGUGUUCCCACCGGCAGUGCCUGUUACCAGGACAGCCAUAGCUUGGAUGCUGGAGCAGGACCGGAGUCACUAUGAAUCUCCCAGCGGAGAGAAGACAAUCCUGAAUCCAGCACAGGGUCCAGCCCGGGAGGUCAAUGGGUAUAACAGGGUCCUUGGCACUGCUCCCUCUUACUCUCAAGGAAUGUAGCCCCAUGAAAGGACCCCAGCUUGGGAAAUGCAGCACCAAAAUGUAUCACUCGAUUUCAAUGCAAUUAUUUAUAAAAAAGACAAGCUUGGGCCAGAAAUUAUCUGACAAGGACACAAUCACAAAUUACCCCAAAUAUGUUUGUAUGAAUGUUUUAGGAUUAUCAUGGAAACAAAAAACAAAUUAUUCAUUUCUUUUUCAAUAGUGAAAGAGAUCCUUCAGGGUGCACUCAGUUUGGGAAGCACUGGUGUAAUAGAAAACAACUCUGGAAAGGGACUGCCCUGAUUUCAAGUUCAAGUCUGACCACCAACUAGCUGGGUGACCUUGUUAUAUAAUACAGAAGUGGAUGGCUACAAGCUCUCCUCAGUUGAAGUGGGUUCCGACACAAGAGAAUCUUCAGGCAGGCCCUUCAGGAGGCAUUCCAGAAGAAGGCAUUGUUA